UUUUUCUAUGAGCACUGCCCCAACACUCAAGCAGGGAUGCAGGCCACUGCUGAAUAAAUGAAAUGAACUAGAGCACGUUCACUGUGGUGCAGUGUUUGUUGUGAGCCUCUCUUUUAGGGAUGAAGAACAGAGUGGUACUUACACAGUAUGGUACAUUCAAGGACAGAGAGAACCUAAAGAUGUUCCAAGGAUCAGUGUCUUUUUUUGUUAUUUCUAGAGAGGAGUGAUUUUUAUCCAAAUAAAAACCAGCUAAAAAUUGUACCUGUUUCCUGUACAAGCUGCCUGUGUUUUCUCUCAUGGUAAGGUCGCAGCCUGGGAUGAUUGCUUCCCAUAGAAUCCACGUCUCCCACAUGCCAGCAGUCUUGGCUUUAGAUGGUGUUUGCAUCUAUUUAUUUGAAACCCCCCACAAUGCUGUGCUGGGAGCGUCUGUGUGCAUAUUGUGGGCCCAGCUGAUGCUGUUCUGGGACCAUGCCUAUGGAACAGUGUGUUUUCUGGGUUGUAUCAUUGUAAAAUUGACAAUUCCACAAAUCAUGCCGCUGUCUGACAGCUUAGUCCUCAGCAGCAGUUAACUAAACUAACAUCCUAAUAGAUGUUUCUCUCAGAGUCCUGUUUAGGUGCUUUUGUGGGUGGUACUUUAUGAAUGUUUUUGUAAGGCUUUAAAAAGUAUUUAGGAUGACUUUUUCAAUUGCAGUCUUUUAAUCGUCUGAUGAACCGAAAAUGAAUAGGAAAAUGAUGAACAGAAAAAUGAUGGCACUUGAAAAAUAAGCUGUGUCAAACUGAUUUUAUAUUAAAUGUUAAACAUUUUUUCUUGCAUAAAACUUUUGAAUUCAAAUACCAUGGUUUUGCAUUGUUAAUGAUUACAAAGAGGUAAUUACGAUUUCUUAGCCGAUUCUGAGAAUUUCUGUGAUGUUUUUGUGAGUGGUUUUGACAGUUUUAAUAAUUACUUUCUAAGGAACAUGAGGGAUGCAGGAUUCUGAGAAAGCAGAAGGAUCUGACCUCUGAAGAGGUCUUCUUCACUUUGAGGAGGAGAAUACUACUACUGGAAGUCUGUCCUUAAUAGGAAUUCUAGCUCAGGCGACCGCUUGGUAUGGGGGAGGAGGAGGGAACUGGCAGUAAUAACAAAGAUGUUAAUAUCUCUAGCGUGGAAGAACUCCCUGUAAUGAGUGUGGCAGUAUAUACUGAAAUGCCUGUUCCACCCACGAAGACAAACGGGAAGAAAUCACAGUGUGCUUCAGGCAAGAAAACGAAGCCAUCAAAUCUGUUGUGCUACAGAAUUUUUAUUUUCAGCACCACAUACGGGUCUGGUGCAAACAAUGAGCUUUCACACAGGGGUGAGCUCCCAAAUGGGGGAGAUCACUUAGGGAAGAGAGAAUGUCCAGCAUGAAGAGCACAGGAUCCCUAGGAAACAAGCAAGCUGUGACCAGAAUAUGAGUGGAAUUACUGUCUGAGUAAUGUGGAUACAUCUAUGCCUCCCUUAGCCACCAACUGCUGCCACAAAGUGCACAACUUCUUGCUCCACCGGCACCAGAUCUGGUUUAAGUCAUUUGGUCUCUACUCCCACCUUCUCCCUGAGAGCCUGAAUUAAUACAGUUGUGCUAAGUAAGUGUUCACAUGGCUGUACUCUUAAGAUCCAUGAGAUGAUCCAUGAUUUUUAAAUGACAGACUUCUCAGAAUUCAUUCCAAACUCGAUUAGUCCAAUCUAGACCACAGGUUCAUGAGGAGCAGGGUAUGUACCACUGAGAGGCUUGGAGUCAGAGAAAAGACAGGCCGAAAAAAAGGAAAGAAAUAAUGUGGCCAGUAUUGCUGUUUGUUCCCAAAAAAGACAUAAUUUAAGAGGUUUGCUGCUUUUCUUAAUCUUUUUUUUUAAAGUUUCUAAGAAGGGCUAGACCUGAAAAGGCCUGACACAUAGCCUUUGUUGUUUCUGCAUUCCCAGCCCCAUCAGAGAGUCCAUUGCCACCAGAGGAUGGAAACUACUAUUCAUUUUGGUGGUGUCCUUGCUGCACGUGCUGUUACCAAAGCAUUUAUUUAUUCUGAAUAGUAAUUCUGCCCCCAUAAAGUGGCCGAAAAGAUGUAUUUUGCCUCAGAGUUGGAGUUGCAGCCAAUUGUGUACAUUUGCGGAAUGGACAAAGCAAGGCCAGGGACGUGACAUUUACAGAGUAAAAGGUGCCAGGAGCACAGAAGCCAAGCGGUAUUAACCCAGGUGAACUCUUCUGCUCUAAUACUGUUUCUGUUAGUUUUUCAAACUAGGCUCAUGGAGAGCCUGCUGAUGGGCAUUACCUGCACCCAGUAAGUCCUCACAUGGGCACUGAUGCUGUGCCCUCACUCUCCACUCCUGCCAUGACAAGCCAGGGCACUUUGUGCUCUCUCUGUUCCGUCAUUACAAAUCCUCUGGUUCAGAGCCCAUAGCACGCAGUUCAGCUUCAUUACAUGGUUAAUUCAGGUUCCCUUAGCUGGGAGCCAGGCAGAGUGGGAGAACUAUGAAUAUCAGAGGACAUUUUCUUAUUCUCUCCUAGUCAUUCAUUGAGGUACAAGAAGAACAGGCCAUUUUGGGAUCAGCCUCUUUCUAGAGAUGGCAAACAAAACUGCUGUGAGGAUUUGGCCUGACUGCAUGACUUCUCAGAGAGCUGGUUGUCAUGUUCUAAAAAUGCCAGGUUGCCACCUAACUAGUUGUGGCCUGGACAAUAUGUUGGUUUUGGUACAUCUCAUGCCCUGGUCUUCUAGACUUGUAGCUCUUGCUGCAAGUGCCCCCAUGGACAGCCUUGUUCAUCUGGCAGUGAGAGUGAUUGAAUGUGGGCUGUGGCAAACAAUUUUACUCCAGAAUAUACUAUAUAUAGAGAAUAUAUAUACUAUAGUACGCUAAUACCUUAUGCAGAGCAGAUGGGCAGGGACAGCACCCAGGUUCACUCCCUGGGGCUGUACUACACAUGGGUGAAACAACAUAAGAGUCCCAAUCAGCUGAGUAAGAUGAUCGAUGCUCAUGCAGCAUUUUUGUGUUGCCACUUGAUGUGCUGAAGUACACCAGUGUGUUACCCUUCCCUUUGCUUGAAUUUAGUGUUAACCUGCAGGCAGCUGUUUUCUUUUUCCAGACUCUUCCCCGCUGGCUGCUUCACAAACACCAGUGUUCUCCCUCGCUCACCUAAACAGUUUAUCCGGUAUUUAGAACAUUAUUCUUUUUGUUUUCCCAUUAAUCUGAACUAGUUUAAUCAUGAAAUCAAGUGUAAUUUAGAUGCUCAAACAGGAAAUCAGUUAAGCUUAGCUGCAAGGGCAGCUUUUACAUUGAUUUUCUUGCAAGUAAGGUUGAGCUUUUCACAGAAGUGUGUGGAUCUCAGAUGUUCCCAGUAAUACUUGGGAUGCUAUCCACACUCUGCCUUUCAAAGGUCUUUGAAGUAUACAAAAUUAGGCUUCUGCUCUUCAAACACAUUUUAAAAUAUGUUCUCUGCAUGCUGCACAUGCUUGAGUGUUGAACUUUUAUAUAGAAUUAUAACUCUUGAAAUCCUCUAAAUCCCCUUGUUUUUGGGAGCUCUGUAACUCCAGGCUCAUUGAUAUGAUGAGGGAAGUUGGGAAUUGUUUCAUCUACAAUGCAGCAUCUUCUCUUAAUUAAGAAGUGUCUCUCAUCAGGAUGACAGGCUGUCCAUGGAGACCUCUUGAUUACAGAGCUCUGCUACAGUAACUUUCCUUUUACAGCUAUUCACAAGAACCAGCCUAGGUUGCAUUUUAUUGAAACUGGGGAGAGAAAUUUUUCAUUCAGGCGCCAUACUGGCCUGAACAGAAGGCAACCUCAGAUCCCUCUUCUGAGAAGCAAAGACAAAAACUUUUUUUAUAUAUAAAUAUAUAUUUCUAUUUAAAUAGGGGAAAAAAAAUAAAAAAAACACCCAAACUCCAAACACAUUUCAUCAUUUCCCUCCCCCAGUACUAAUUAAAACAUACCUUAGGCUCAGAGGCUGCUACCCACACAAGUUCUUUCACUCUGUCCAUGGGGUGAAGGCCUUUCAGUGCAUGGGACCAAGUGCUGUCCAAGCCUUGGCAGCUCAGCUCCACAAAGAUCCAGUUCCAAGUUGCAUCAGCUGGUUCUGGCUGCCAGGGUUGCACAUUGCUGUCUCUUGUAAAUUGGCUGCACUGGGAUGUUGUGUGCACUGUGAUUUUACCAAUUUGAGUCUUUUUACUCUCUCAGAAAUCCUGAGCACUUGACUGUGCUGAAAGCUUCAGCUCAAGAAGCUGGAACUCCAAGUUAUAAAGAAAAGCAUUCCAGGUACCAGGUCCACACACCCUUUCUGUAUGCACUCAGUAACUGUGGCCGAGUUCAUGCAUGAAGAUUUGUAGGACCUGCAUUUUAGACAGGUAUUGCUCAAAUUUUAAAUGCAUAGGUCUACUCUUCAAAGUCUAAGACUGCCAAAAAUCUGAAAGGGAAAUCCAGGAGGAGUUUACAUAGCUAAGAUAGCCUUCAAUUUAGUGACCUCAGCCUCCUUGCAGAAUCAGUGAUGUGAAGAUGACAGAGGGGUUGCAAACCCCUUGUCAGGGAUGCUGUCAGCAGCAGGGAUGUUCCCUGAGGGCAGCCCCAGAGCCAGCAACAGUAGAUCCUGCUGGGCUAUGUCCUUCCCAACAGGGCAGUCCCAGGGGCCAGAGGCCUCUGGGCAUUCUCACUUGGCUGUCUUGCUUUAACCCAUAUUUCCCCCUACAUCCUCCUGCCAGAGGUCCAUUUGCAAGGACCAUGGGUGACUUUUCUGUCACUGCACAUAAAUUUAGUGAUGACUAAUAGACAUACUGGUCCUUAGGAAGGACACAACAGUGGGCACUGUAUCUUUACACUUUUUACACACUUUGCACAUCUUUUACACACUUUACACAAGGUAAAGCUUUUAGCUUUUUGUGUUACUGCUUUACCUGAUUGCCACCCUACUGGAUGUUAAAACUCCUUGCCAAAACUUGUAACUCCAAGGUGAGCAGGCCUGAGGCCUGUAGAAAGACACAUUCUGGUUUUGCCAGGAAGCAGUGAACUUUGAGAGACUAAAUUAAUUAAUGAUUUAGCAGGCUCUUGAGUGUAAAAUGCAACCAGUUGGAGCUCUGCCUCUCACUACCCUGGAGUACCUAUUCAGAGACAAGUGCACUGAGUGAUUUGUUGCUCAAAGAGAUCUGAUAACUGGGACAUGAAAAUCACUCUCACCUGCUCUGGAGAGGCUGAUGGAAACCAACAUGACAUGUAAGCAGAAAGGAUUUCUGUCACACAGCAAGGAUUAAAUGAAAACACUACACCUGCUGUAAUAAGUGGUCCUGUGCCAUUUGAGGCAUUUUUUUCAGGCUUCUUUCUCUAAUUCAGAAAUGGCCCUGAAUCACAAACCUGUACCUACAGCCAGGUGCUCAUGUAUAAGUGCACAAGUUGCAACCAGGAAUUCCUGUGGGAGCUGCAGGGCAUCUCACUUUGGCUGGCACGGACACUUUCCCACCCAGAAGUGACUUCCUGCAGAGCUCUGAGCUGGGUGACCUCUCAGUGUUUCUGUUGUCAGGUCUUCCUCACCCUCAUUAGGCUUUAAGCUAUGGAUGGACACCUUUCCUGCUCCAUGUUGGCUUGGAGACUUCU
rnacentral:lncRNA from 1 species